GACGAACGCUGGCGGCAUGCCUAACACAUGCAAGUCGAGCGAGUUGAUCCCUUCGGGGUGAAGCUAGCGGCGGACGGGUGAGUAACACGUGGGCAACCUGCCUCAUAGAGGGGAAUAGCCUUCCGAAAGGAAGAUUAAUACCGCAUAAGAUUGUAGCUUCGCAUGAAGCAGCAAUUAAAGGAGCAAUCCGCUAUGAGAUGGGCCCGCGGCGCAUUAGCUAGUUGGUGAGGUAACGGCUCACCAAGGCGACGAUGCGUAGCCGACCUGAGAGGGUGAUCGGCCAAAUUGGGACUGAGACACGGCCCAGACUCCUACGGGAGGCAGCAGUGGGGAAUAUUGCACAAUGGGGGAAACCCUGAUGCAGCAAUGCCGCGUGUGUGAUGACGGCCUUCGGGUUGUAAAGCUCUGUCUUCGGGGACGAUAAUGACGGUACCCGAGGAGGAAGCCACGGCUAACUACGUGCCAGCAGCCGCGGUAA
rnacentral:rRNA from 1 species